AGCACAGACGAGCUGAUGGAGCACUACUGACAAAUGUCCUGUGUGAAUGUGAUGGCUGAUCUGCACAGGGACAUGUAAGCCAAGGAGGGAGCUGGGAGCGGGUUGCUUUGGACAGUCCAGUGUUCUCUUCCCCACAGCUUCUGCAAGGGUCUGGGAAAUGAGGUUUUCCUGCACGUAGGCAGAGAGCAGCGUGAUGCUGUAUGACUGAAGUCCCUGCUCACAGUUCAUGAAUAAUAAAGACUACCAAAGCUCACAGCCCAAAAGCCGUGUUCUGCAGGGGCUCCAGCACACAUUCAUGGAGCAAACCUCCGCAGUGGUGUGAAAUGCGAUGGCCUCAUGGUCGUCUUCAGCCAGAGGUUUCACUCCACACCCUGGAGCUGGAGAAAAGGAUGGUGCAGGAUGGUCCAGCCUCUCCAGUGUGAUGACCUCUGGCUCAGCUCGGACCCUUCUGUGGAUAGUUUAACAAAGGAAAGCAAAGCAGAACCCACUGGGUGCGGGAAGGAUGGAGCAAGCAUCUGUUUAUAGGGUUAGUGUUUUCCUUCUGCCCUGGAGGACUGGCUGUUACUUGCUUUAUCAGGACUGUAGGCUGAGACUAUCUGGUAGCCAUAGGCUAUAAGGUAGCCCUAGAGAUCUUCACCAUGAGCAGCCCAUGUCAGAAGAGGCAUUUCCCAGGAGGAACUUAGGAAGGGCUAGAGGAAGAGCCUAUCUUUGAAAUCCUUAAAUUGAAAUUAAAUAAGAAACUCUUAAUAAACCUGGAAAUCCCCCUUUUAAAUCUGAUACAACAGCCUCUUCUGGGCCCCCAAGCCCUCAGGGAGGAAGUCAUUGCAAAGUGAGAUUAAAUGCACUUAAAGUUGAGGGGCCAGGGAGGUGGGAACCCAAGGCCUGUCUGCACUUGUGUAAGCCAAAGCAUCAACUGAAGGAGCUCAUUUGAAGGUAGGCCCAUACAGGGACACCCUCUUGUUCAAAGGAGACCAUCCUUUCCCAGGAGCAGGAGCUAAAUAAAAGUUGACUUUGUCAUACCUACAAGGGCUUGCUGGAGGUGCAGUCUGCAAGCAGAGCAGCAAGGUGCUUUCUGUUGUAGGAGUUCCUGUGCAACAGGCAUUUGCCAUAUCUGCAGAGGAAAUCAGCAAUGUCACCCCACGGGCUCUUUUCCGCCCGUAGGAAAGUGUGGCAAAGACUCGUACUAUAAGCAGCAGCAUCGUAUUGGGAACAGUUCCCAGUACAAAGUUGACUUAAAAGGAGCUAAGGCACUGCCUUGGUUCAGCUUUGAUAAUGCCAAUACAAAUCAUCACCCAGGUCCAGCUGGUCUCGGAUCAUGCCCUUCCUACAGGGCAAAGGUGAGCAAAUGCAUGGCAGGGAUCAGGCAGGUGGUUUAACUCUACUGUUUUUAAAUGAACAGCAUUUUUGUUAGCAUUUACUUCCACAUUUACUUCUGCUUAAAUAUAACUAUGUAUUUUAUGGGCUUAGCAUAUGAUACCCUUUUUGCUGGUGAAAUACAGGGUGGAACAUGGCCCUCCUGGCACGAAUCAGUUUGAUGCUCAGAAUGAAAGCUGUAACGGGUUGAGAGUGAUGGGGAUGUUUUAUGUUCUGAAGAUGCUCGAGUGGGCUGUGCCGUCAAAAGGAUACAGAGUGGAAGCCACAUCCUGCCGGCUUGGGUAAUCCAUAAAAGAGCUUUCAGUGUUUUCCCUCGCAGUAACAGCUUUAAAUUUUAAUAAGCUGUAGUGUACUUUCACCGGAUGUCAUAAGCUGGUACAAAGUUUAAAUGGGGUUAAGUAAGUAGGAGCCUAGGAGAAAGGAACAUAAAAGAUGUAAAUUAUUUCCUCUCUUUCACAAGUUUGUUUCACCAGGUUUAUUUGGGAGGGGGGGAUAAUAUAUAAUUUAAAUGAUUUUUUUCUUCUCUGGAUGAUUCAGAGGUCAUGGGACAGAGACAACCCUUGAAGCAAUGAAAUCAAGUUGCUAUUUCAGGUUACUUUGUCAUUUACCAACGAUAUUUACCAAGUCACAGACUUGUGUGCCUGAACGUGAUCCGCACAAGCCUGCAACGCAAGGGUCUGUAGGCAGACUCUUUGAAAGGUCACGCAGCCCACCCCUACCCCCAGGCAGGAUCGGCUCUGUGUAAGUCUGUCCAGAUAGACCAUUGUUCAACCUGUUCUUGGAGCCCCAGCGGUGGAGAACAGCAGCGCCGUCACUCAAGAAGCUUCCCCCAUCUACAGCAGAUGUGCCUGCCUUCACUUCAAGCCCAUUACCCCCCAUGUUACCGUGGGUGAAAGAGGAGGUCUUGGUUUAUCUUCUUCCUCUUUGCAGCUCUGGGUGGCACAUUUGCUGUCACCGCAGCCUCCCCCAGCCCAGCGGCUCCAGCUGCUUCCUCUUUCCCCUCAACUGCCUUCUAAAUGGGCUGCAGGAGACCCAGUACCAUCUAGAAAUACCAUCUAGGGUGGUACCCAAAGCCUACAUCUACCUUCUGCUUGUUUUCUCUUUGCAAAGGUGGGAUAAAGAGGGGUUUGAGGCACGGGAUGUGCAGUGCCAUGCUUGGAGCUGGAUAAUCCUAGAGAGUUUGUUUGCAUCAUGAUGCACUGCUCUCACUGCCUGUGCCUUUCAAACAAACAGGGGCUGUGGAGUGGGGUUUUUUCCUGCUACUGGCAGUGCUAUAGAAAACAGAGGUGUAAUGGGAUUUACUGUGUUUAUUUUGUUUGCUUCUGUGUAUCCACUGAAAUGGCUCCAAAACGUUCUCAGCUAAAAGCAUCAGCUACUCCAUUUUGAGCUUAAAAAGUCAUUUCUGUACCCAGGAGAUGUACUUGUUCUCAGUGGAGUGGGCAUAGUAACACGCACUGUGCAGUGGAUUAUAUCUAUGUGAUUAUACCCUCCAGGCAACGACCUGGUGCUUAAGAAAUGAAUCACUCACAAAGACCAAGGCUGAGGGAAUCGGGUUCAGCGAUUAUAAGAUUUGCUUCCAAAAGAUCUGGACCAAAGUAAUCAGUGUUCCCCCAAGAUAUGCUUGUGCUAAUAGGCAGUUUGGUGGUUUAUGUAAGAAUACUUUAUGUCAUUUGAUGGCUUCCAACAGUGUAAAGAAGCAGUAACCACACACAAGGACUAGGAUUCACAGCGUGAGAGGCUGGAUGGGCUCUGAUGGGCAGGAAUAGCCAGGAGAUGCAAGUGAAAACCUGCCCUGGCUAAUGAUGGCUGUGCUAGUGGGGGGAGAUCUGCCAGUGCAGAACUGGAGCAGGUUCCUGGGAAAUACAUCCAGGAAAAGGGAAGAGACAGGACGAGAAGGCAAGAAAUGCGUGCGGGGAAACAGUGGCAGGAAGAGGAAAGAACAAAUGAGAACUGGCAAGUUGAUAAAAGAACAAAAGGGCUUUGUCUCACAUUAAAGGCAGCCAGCUACACAAAUCAUUUUCCCAUGUAAGCAAUUACUGCUGCUACCCCAGGGAUGGUACGUGGUUGCAAAUGGGAAGAUGGGUUCUUUGCAUUCAUAACUGGGUCUGCAAGUGCUCCAUCAAUAUGGCUCAUGAUGCUCUGAGCCACGUCAGGCGAGUGGAGAAAUUGAAACUUGAUUGUGCAGAUAGCUGUAAUCCCUGUUUUCCAAACUGACUGUCCAUCUGUAUGGGAAUAAGUCAUCAGUUGGUGGAACAGAAAGAACAGUGGCUUCUAAAAGGAGACAGGAGGAUCAGUUUAUUCCUCUUUCACUCCUGACAGCAGCUGUUGACAGCAGCUUGCAGCAGUCAGUGGAGUCACAUAGGUAUGAGUCAGGUAAGAAUCAGACGUAAGCCUGAGAUUCCCUUUCAGCCUGACUUUCAGAAGUGCUGAGCGCAAGCAGCUCCUAUUCAAACCAAGGCACCGUUUAGCUUAAUUCUGGUUUACAGCAGCAGAGCUGGGAAUAUAAACCACGUCUGAGAGGCACCUGGGCCACAAUAAAUACGAAUUUGUUUGGUUCUCCGUAAUUGUAUAGGCUGUGGCAUGCAUUUUUCCUAAUUCUUUGGGAAUGGUCACUUACAAUUAUGGAUUUGUUACAGAAUGUAGAGUUAAAAUGAAAACUGCAUGAAGUCUCUUUUUAUUGUAAAUGCCCAAGCAGUUACUGAUCUAUUUAUUAGCUUUCUGGGGCAAGAAGAAAGAUUCCAUCUUCAGAUCAUAUCUAUGGGGCCAUAAAGUGAGGGGGGUGGUUGCCAUGACACAGAGUCUGUAUGAGAGUGCUUUACACCCUCUAGAAUCAGCUUUUGGCAAUGGGGUUUUCUGCUGAGACUGAGAGAAUUCUGAUGUUCAUGAUCUGGUCUGGUCUUUAGACUUUGUCUCAAAAGUGACCAAGUCAUGACACAGAUGAGGUCUCAGCUUGACAAUCCCCUAUUGCCACUGCUCAGCUGUCCUUAGCCCAGGGUAUAAAUUUACCUGUCUUCCAGCUCUACAUUUACCGGCACAAACUUAUCUCACUGCUUGUGCUGUAAGCCUUUCGACAUCAGCCACUCCAAAAUUAGAAACUGAUGUUAUGGAAAACUUAAUAACAUUAAAGAAAUGCCAGCCCA